GGUAAGUCGUGGCGGCGGGCCGUGUUAGUGCGAGGGGGGCGGGCGGUAACAGGCAUUACUGGGCGGAAGGGGUGGUCAGGCGGUUAUGUAAGACAGAUGUGAAAUCCCCGGGCUCAACCUGGGAACUGCAGUUGGGACUGCAUGGCUAGAGUACGGUAGAGGGGGAUGGAAUUCCGCGUGUAGCAGUGAAAUGCGUAGAUAUGCGGAGGAACACCGAUGGCGAAGGCAAUCCCCUGGACCUGUACUGACGCUCAUGCACGAAAGCGUGGGGAGCAAACAGGAUUAGAUACUCUGUUAGUC
rnacentral:rRNA from 1 species